GGAUGAACGCUGGCGGCGUGCCUAAUACAUGCAAGUCGAGCGAACGGACGAGAAGCUUGCUUCUCUGAUGUUAGCGGCGGACGGGUGAGUAACACGUGGAUAACCUACCUAUAAGACUGGGAUAACUUCGGGAAACCGGAGCUAAUACCGGAUGAUAUUUUGAACCGCAUGGUUCAAAAGUGAAAGACGGUCUUGCUGUCACUUAUAGAUGGAUCCGCGCUGCAUUAGCUAGUUGGUAAGGUAACGGCUUACCAAGGCAACGAUGCAUAGCCGACCUGGGAGGGUGAUCGGCCACACUGGAACUGAGACACGGUCCAGACUCCUACGGGAGGCAGCAGUAGGGAAUCUUCCGCAAUGGGCGAAAGCCUGACGGAGCAACGCCGCGUGAGUGAUGAAGGUCUUCGGAUCGUAAAACUCUGUUAUUAGGGAAGAACAUAUGUGUAAGUAACUGUGCACAUCUUGACGGUACCUAAUCAGAAAGCCACGGCUAACUACGUG
rnacentral:rRNA from 1 species